rnacentral:lncRNA from 1 species
CUAUCUCAGUGCCAGUCCUUUCUUCAGAAAAAAAGUAUCCUACAUAGCAUAGUUUCAACAUUUUGUUAUAACCUAAAACGAUUAUUUAACACACUACUUCAGAGAAUGAAUCCAGCAUUACUUUCUAACACAUGUAAUAUUCAUUUGAAUAUUUGCGGAAAGCCAAUAAUAAAAUACGCAUUUUUCACACAAGCGGGCAGAGCCCAUGGAAAGGGACAUUUCGGGUUAAAGAGUCAGGGAGGGCACCUGAGGCGUUCCCCUGAGGGCGGUGAGGUGAAUUGCGUUGCCUUGGCCGUGCCGCUCGGUAGGGGGCGCACUCCCCGCCCCUCCCUCCCCGGGGCUCCCUUAUCACCCCCAGCGGGCGAUGUUGCCGCGCCACCGCCUCCACCUCCUGCUCUUCCUCCGCACCCUGCACGGCUCUGCCUUUGGCAUGGGCGACUGGGCCUCCCGCCUGCCGCAGGCGAGCGAAGCGCUGCCCGGCAGGAGCCAGCGCAUGGCGGUGCCAGCAAAACAAAAACUUUUCAUCGACACAAACAUGCUUUAAAACCGAACCUGACCUCCUUCGGAAUACGUUCGGAACGGGAAUUCCGGCGUUUCUCUCAACAGAAACGAACUUUUAGUGGAACCUCCUUAAAGAUUUCAUCUGACCCAGCAGUGAAGUAAGAGUAGAGAGAAAGUUGUGACUUCAAUAGAAAAGUGAGUACGUUCUUAAAGCCACAACGUUUGUUUUUGCUGCUUGGUGCUGUCCUGGCUCCAUGUCCCAGCCUUUGGGGACAAACCUGAAGACCCAGCAGGACACGCCGAAGAGACCCAGGCUGUGCCUGAAGGGCAAAAUCAGAGCAUGGUUAUUCUGCUCCUGCUCUCAAACAUUCCCUUCAGUGCAUCUUCCUAGAGAGCCUCUGGAAUCGCUGAAUUUUCUACUUUUAGAAGCAACAAGAGAUGGAAAAAUAUCGGCUGCUGCCAAGUGAGGGAUGUUUGAAGAUGACACAGUUGAUGGCACUGGAUACAGAAACUUCAGUUUGUAGUUACAGGACCUGUUUGCUGCAGACAGUGAAAAAAAUGUGCUCCUUUCUCAGGAAUUAAAAGAAAAUGGACUAAAAAAAUCAGUGAUGGCUGAAGCGUGGACGCUUUACCAUUUCAAUAAAAUGAAGGACCUAUAAGUCCA